UACGUAGGGGGCAAGCGUUGUCCGGAUUUACUGGGCGUAAAGAGCGUGUAGGCGGCCAAACAGGUCCGUUGUGAAAACUGGAGGCUCAACUUCCAGACGUCGACGGAAACCGUGCGGCUAGAGUCCGGAAGAGGAGAGUGGAAUUCCUGGUGUAGCGGUGAAAUGCGCAGAUAUCAGGAAGAACACCAAUGGCGAAGGCAGCUCUCUGGGACGGUACUGACGCUGAGACGCGAAAGCGUGGGGAGCGAACAGG
rnacentral:rRNA from 1 species